CCUACGGGAGGCAGCAGUGGGGAAUAUUGCGCAAUGGACGAAAUUCUGACGCAACGACGCCGCGUGAGGGAUGAAGGUUUUCGGAUCUUUAACCUCUGUCAGGCGGGAAGCAAGCGCAUGGCGCCAAUCAGCCAUGCGUUGACGGUACCUCCAAACGAAGCGCCGGCUACCUCCGUGCCAGCAGCCGCGGUAAUACGGAGGGCGCGAGCGUUAAUUGGAAUUACUGGGCGUAAAGCUGGCGUAGGCUGUUGUGUAAGUUGGGGGUGAAAUCCCACGGCUCAACCGUGGAACAGCCCGUGAUACUGGGCGACUUGAAUCCGGGAGAGGGUGGCGGAAUGCCAGGUGUAGGAGGGAAAGCCGUAGAUAUCUGGAGGAACAGCAGUGGCGAAGGCGGCCAACUGGACCGGUAUUGACGCUGAGGCGCGAAAGCGUGGGGAGCAAACAGGAUUAGAUACCCGAGUAGUC
rnacentral:rRNA from 1 species